rnacentral:rRNA from 1 species
UACGAAGGGGGGCUAGCGUUGCUCGGAAUGACUGGGCGUAAAGGGCGCGUAGGCGGCGGCCACAGUCAGAUGUGAAAUUCCUGGGCUUAACCUGGGGGGCUGCAUUUGAUACGUGGUUGCUUGAGUGGGGAAGAGGGUCGUGGAAUUCCCAGUGUAGAGGUGAAAUUCGUAGAUAUUGGGAAGAACACCGGUGGCGAAGGCGGCGACCUGGUCCUUGACUGACGCUGAGGCGCGAAAGCGUGGGGAGCAAACAGG